rnacentral:rRNA from 1 species
AGAAUGAACGUUGGCGGCGUGGAUUAGGCAUGCAAGUCGAACGGGCCGCAAGGCCAGUGGCGUAAGGGUGAGUAAGGCGACGGUAACCAACCCCAUGACUGGGUAUAGCCGCGGGAAACUGCGGGUAAUCCCCAGCGACGUCCCGGGGGGGCAUCCCCUCAGGACCAAAGCUCCGGCGUCGUGGGACGGGCCGUCGUGGUAUUAGGUAGUUGGCGGGGUAACGGCCCACCAAGCCUGCGAUGCCUACCGGGCGUGCGAGCGUGGCCCGGCACACUGGGACUGAGACACUGCCCAGACUCCUACGGGAGGCUGCAGUCGAGAAUCUUCGGCAAUGGGCGCAAGCCUGACCGAGCGACGCCGCGUGGAGGACGAAGGCCUUCGGGUUGUAAACUCCUGUCGAGGGGGAAGAAGGGCCGUGAGGCCUUGACUGAUCCCUGGAGGAAGCACGGGCUAAGUUCGUGCCAGCAGCCGC